rnacentral:lncRNA from 1 species
UUGACAAAAAGUGAAGGAAAUUUUAAUUGAUUUAAUAGUUGAUAGGUAAUGAGAUUGUUAAAUCUAACAAAUCUUCCAACCAAUUUAGAAAAAUAACUCGCAUUGAAAUAAUUCAAGAUUGGUGAGAUAUUAAUCAAAUUAAUAUAGUUGAGGGGUCUAAUUUAAAGUGACUUUUAGUCGAACUCAUUGACUACACCUAAUAUACAUAUACAUUUCAUACACACCAGUAAAUUUGUAUAAUAGGGAUGGCAAAAUAAAAGAUUAAUUAAUUUAAAUUAUUUUAUAGUAUUUAGAAUGUCUAUAUGUUAAUAGAUAUAUUCAAUAAAAUAAAAUUAUAUUUUUCUUAUU